rnacentral:rRNA from 1 species
AGAGUUUGAUCCUGGCUCAGGAUGAACGCUAGCGAUAGGCUUAACACAUGCAAGUCGAGGGGCAGCAUGGUCUUAGCUUGCUAAGACUGAUGGCGACCGGCGCACGGGUGCGUAACGCGUAUGCAACUUGCCUCACAGAGGGGGAUAACCCGUCGAAAGACGGACUAAUACCGCGUACACUCCAUCUUGGGCAUCCAAGGAGGAGGAAAUGAACUUCGCUGUGAGAUAGGCAUGCGUCCCAUUAGCUAGUUGGUGAGGUAACGGCUCACCAAGGCGACGAUGGGUAGGGGAACUGAGAGGUUGAACCCCCACACUGGUACUGAGACACGGACCAGACUCCUACGGGAGGCAGCAGUGAGGAAUAUUGGUCAAUGGGCGAGAGCCUGAACCAGCCAAGUCGCGUGAAGGAUGACUGUCUUAUGGAUUGUAAACUUCUUUUAUACGGGAAUAACAAGAGUCACGUGUGGCUCCCUGCAUGUACCGUAUGAAUAAGCAUCGGCUAACUCCGUGCCAGCAGCCGCGGUAAUACGGAGGAUGCGAGCGUUAUCCGGAUUUAUUGGGUUUAAAGGGUGCGUAGGCGGCCUGUUAAGUCAGCGGUGAAAUCUAGGAGCUUAACUCCUAAAUUGCCAUUGAUACUGGCGGGCUUGAGUGUAGAUGAGGUAGGCGGAAUGCGUGGUGUAGCGGUGGAAUGCAUAGAUAUCACGCAGAACUCCGAUUGCGAAGGCAGCUUACUAAGGUACAACUGACGCUGAAGCACGAAAGCGUGGGUAUCAAACAGGAUUAGAUACCCUGGUAGUCCACGCAGUAAACGAUGAUAACUGGGCGUAUGCGAUAUACAGUAUGCUCCUAAGCGAAAGCGUUAAGUUAUCCACCUGGGGAGUACGCCGGCAACGGUGAAACUCAAAGGAAUUGACGGGGGCCCG